CCAUGGCCACUUUGGCCUACCUGCUGCGACAUCUGGAUUCCAGGGGAACUGCCAGGGUCAGAGGCUGAAGGCACAAGCAUGGCAAUCACCGCCUGGUCAGACUCCAGAGGUUUGGUUUGUAACAUUAAGAAGACAUUCCUCCAAUGCCUGAAAUGCCCUUCAUAGUGUCCUUUACGUUACAAGAGCUUGGGAACAGUCACAUGGAGGAUCGGGAGCUGAGCCCACACACUGAAAUCACAGAACAGAGGGAGCAGAUGGAAGAAAGAAAAUUGGCAGGUUUAGAGGGCGAGAACAACCCAAAGAAGGGCCAGGUAAUAUGGAGCUGGAUUUGCCAAAGGAGGUGAGAAUAAGCACAAGUUGAGUUCAGAAAAGUCAAGGGAAACUGAGGAAUGUGUACAGCAUCGUGCGGCUCCUCAAGGAGCAGCCUGAGCUGAGCAGUGAGGACUGGGAUAGUAACUUACUCGACAGUGAACCUGUGCACCUGCUAGAGAAAUCCACAGAAUGGAUCAGGAUUUGUUUCUACUGCUGGGAAGCACCAAUUCCAAGAGGAGGAGGAUGUGACCUUGAGGCUUUUCCCAGACUCCCCCAGCCUCGACCUUGGAACUGCCCUCACAAUGGAUGCCCUUCCAGUAAGUGUGGGCUUAGAGAGAUAAAUGAUGUUUGGAGAA